rnacentral:rRNA from 1 species
UACGUAGGGCGCAAGCGUUGUCCGGAAUUAUUGGGCGUAAAGAGCUCGUAGGCGGCUUGUCACGUCGGGUGUGAAAGCCCGGGGCUUAACCCCGGGCCUGCAUUCGAUACGGGCUAGCUAGAGUGUGGUAGGGGAGAUCGGAAUUCCUGGUGUAGCGGUGAAAUGCGCAGAUAUCAGGAGGAACACCGGUGGCGAAGGCGGAUCUCUGGGCCAUUACUGACGCUGAGGAGCGAAAGCGUGGGGAGCGAACAGG